AGUGAACGCUGGCGGUAGGCCUAACACAUGCAAGUCGAACGGCAGCACAGGAGAGCUUGCUCUCUGGGUGGCGAGUGGCGGACGGGUGAGGAAUACAUCGGAAUCUACUUUUUCGUGGGGGAUAACGUAGGGAAACUUACGCUAAUACCGCAUACGACCUACGGGUGAAAGCAGGGGAUCUUCGGACCUUGCGCGAUUGAAUGAGCCGAUGUCGGAUUAGCUAGUUGGCGGGGUAAAGGCCCGCCAAGGCGACGAUCCGUAGCUGGUCGGAGAGGAUGAGCAGCCACACUGGAACUGAGACACGGUCCAGACUCCUACGGGAGGCAGCAGUGGGGAAUAUUGGACAAUGGGCGCAAGCCUGAUCCAGCCAUACCGCGUGGGUGAAGAAGGCCUUCGGGUUGUAAAGCCCUUUUGUUGGGAAAGAAAUCCAGCUGGUUAAUACCCGGUUGGGAUGACGGUACCCAAAGAAUAAGCACCGGCUAACUUCGUGCCAGCCGCCGCGGUAA
rnacentral:rRNA from 1 species